ACUAACCGAUUUUUUUUACUAUGUGCCUCACGCAACUGACACUAGUAGUGUGAAACCUUGCGCCAUGAUCAUGAUUUUUGGAAAUAUGGUUAAUGUUUCACAGAAAUCCCCCAGCCAUGUUAACACGGCUUCUGAAAAUUUUCUCAUACCCUAAGAUGUACUGUUGCAAAAAUAUAUAGAUAGGUUUGGACUUUUGAGUCAUGAUUUCGAAAUGCCUUUAACUUUCUUUUGAAACUUAAUUUUCCCCAUAUAUAUACAUAUAUUUGACAACUUUUUCCUCUUCUUCCAAACUAUUAACAACAGUGGAGUUGAAGAUAUCUGUGCAAUUUUCUCUCCAACUUGUUAUGUUGUAGCCCUCCCCCUGGAUCUCCUUUUUAAUACAUUCGUGGACACCAAAAGCUACUUUAGAGAUCCAUGUACGUCUGCUCGUGCCGGUCAUCAGAGGUUAUUGUAGCUGCUGGUAGGGAGAUUUUAAGGUACACCUACUCCACAUCCGCAAGCCGCGGAGUCACCUUCCCUAUUUUACUUCAUGUUGUAUUUCUUUCAGAGAGUGAUGUAUUAGAUAUUCUAGAAUUAUUCUAUAGAGCUUAUGACUCAGUUUCACCAGUUUUGGGGUGCGUAUUGUGAGAUUCUGCUUUUGGAAGGUUUUUAUCUAUUAUUCAGUUGUUUUCA